rnacentral:lncRNA from 1 species
CAGUGGAAAGUGUAUGUGGGAGUACAGGACCAGCUUGGUUGGGAAUUCUGUCAAAUUCCCAUUCAGGGUACUGUCAAAUUGCUGAGAGGUAGUGAUGGUGGACACAGUCUGCCCAAUCAAAUGAUUGAGAUGGGUGUAUAUGGCUGUUUGGUAUCCAGGUUGUGUUGACAUAUGUCACAGAUGGCUUCCUCACUGACGCUGAAGGCACGGUCAGAAUAAUCCAGUCAGGUGGGUGAUCAGGAAGGAAUUGUAGGGCUCCACCAUGGCUGUGGAAACCUGAGGGACUGGUAACUUUGAGUUUAGACUUCUUGCCAUAGACUACCAAGAGCUGUUCCAUGAGCAGAGGCAGAAACCCAGAGCUGGUGCCUCCCCUGAAGCUGUGGAAGAUGAACAAGUCCCAUAGCCCUGUGCACAGUUCAGCCAAUUUUCAGAUCAAGUCUACAUCAGUAAUCUCCUUGCCAGUGAUGUCAUGGCCUUUGGCUUAAUCCCUGGCUGCAUCUUCUUUCCCAGGGAUCAAUACCAAGCCCCCAACAUUUUUACUUUUAUGAACCAAAUUUUAAUUUUCUCUUAUUUCUUAAAAAUAAGAAAAUGAUUUUGAAAGACAUUAUAUAUGUUUAUUUUUGCCUCCUUAAGUGCUCAUGUUAAAAAAAAAUAGCCAAACAAUUUCAUGGUUUUCUGUUCUCUGGUGACUGCACUGGCAAAGAGGACAUGGAUACGUCAGGAUCUGUGACACCUGAUGUUCCAGAUCUUUUCAAAUACCUGGAUGUAUGGCAUGAUGUAAACAUAAAAACUGGAUGAGUAGUAGCAUUUUAAGUUGUUGUUCUUUCUUGUAGACACAGACAUCAUUCACUGAAUAGCCCCUCUUUUAGGAGUGCAGAAAUCUAUGCAAAUUUCCACUGUUUUACCACCAGAUGUCAGCCAUUCACUACACUGGUAAUAACUACCCUCAAGAACUCUUGAUGAGAAAUCUAUGGGAUUUUACUGUGAAGCCAGGGACUGGAUCCACUUCUGGAGGUGCUUGCGAGGCAGUGCAUUCUCUACCUGUCUCAAUGAAUGAAGUUCAGCUAAGAACAAUAGUGGAGAGAUUGCUUGAAGGCAAUGGAGUUCAUUCAUUUUCUACCAUAGUCUACCAUCUUUAAUUAAGCCAGGUUAGUAGAAUAGGCGUAGUGUACUAGGACAGGAUUAUAAUACCCUGGCCGUUGGCUUAUAUGAGGCAUGAAAUGCCACAUGCUAUAUUGAGGGAUAUAUGUAAGAACAAACCUGCAAAAUGUAUUUGUCUACUUCAUGGAUAUUGUUGAAGACUUUAAUCACACAUCUUGCUGCUGUCUUUCAGAAGAUACUUGGGAGCAAGUUUAUCUGGCCUUAUAAUUAGGAAUUAUAAAUGUUUAAUGGAUGUAUGAAUUGUGUAACUAAUCAAGUUUUACUUAAUGAGCUGCUAGAAAGCUUAGAACAUUUUGGCCUGAGCAGGUGUAACAGGAAUUAUUCUUGUAUUAAUUUUUCUAUUUUUAUCUUUGUUCUCCAUUUUUCUUUCUCACCUAUCAUUUAUCAUUUUAAUUUAUUUUUUGCAUCCAUUUAGUCAUUGUAAACUGUGUAGGAAUAAGAUUAGAUGUAGGUAACAUUUUAAAAAGUAGCUAAUGAUCAGGGAAGUACAAAUCAAAACCACACUGAGAUACCACCUCACGCUGGUCAGAGUGGCUAAAAGGAACAAAUCAAGAGACUAUAGAUGCUGGUGAGGGUGUGGAGAGGCGGGCACCCUCCUACACUGUUGGUGGGAAUGUAAACUGGUGCAGCCGCUCUGGAAAACAGUGUGGAGGUUCCUCAAAAAAUUAACAAUAGAACACCCCUAUGACCCAGCCACAGCACUACUAGAAAUUUACC